GGGGACAGAGAUGUUACAGGGAGAGAAAUAGCUUUUGCAAAAGCAGGAAGGGAGAUCCUAAAUGGUCUAUCAUUUCAAUAGAUCAGACUCAAAGGAAUGAAUCUCUAGUCUUCAAGGAAGGUGGUCAGCAACCUCUUAUGGGAUAAGCUGAGUCAUUCUGGCAACCUGGAAUCAGUAUCCAGUAGCUCUGGUCUUGGCAGUGGGAGAGAAUGCACCUGUGAAAUCUUUGUUAAGGCUCAGCCUUUUCUUCUUUUUCUGCCUGUUAUUUCCUGCAGUCCUGAGGUGGGGAGGGCCCCAGUCCUCGCACAGGUCCCCGCACUUUGCAGGAGGGUCGCUUCCUUUGUUUGGGGGUGGCUGUAUAGCUCUGAGUUUGUGUUUUGUUUUUUCUGUACUAACAAUUAAGGAAACGGCAGAGUGGCUCCUUUUUGCCCUGACAGCCCCUUGAUGGAGGCAGCUGAACCCCUUCCUUAUUCCUCCACCCUGCAGGGAGCCGCACCUCUUCCCAGCCCUCCUAAGAAGGCCUGGUAGAGCGCUACGUGAGGAAACCAAACCAAACCAAACCCAGGGGGCUGGAUGAUGGAGUUGCCCAGGAAGACAAGGGGGGAGUUCACCUCUUCAAACUUCUGCUAGCAUCGACCUUCUCAGAAAGGAAAUUUGGAUGCAAAGGAAGACACAAGAGAUGAGCAUGCACAUAGAAAAAAAUUUAUGAAGAUAGAGCAGGAAGGCAGCCGUCUGCAAGCCAAGGAGAGAGGCCUCAGAGGAAUCCAAACCUGCUGACAUUGACCUUGGACUUUCAGAACUCUGUGAGAAAUAAAUUUCUGUUGUUUAAGCCACCCUGGCU